AGCUAGGUAGUCCAGUGAAUAAGAACACUGGACUUGGAAUCCAGAAAAUUCAUGUUCAUGAAUUCAAAUCUUGUCUUAGUUU
rnacentral:tRNA from 1 species